AACCAUCAAUGGGGGGACCUUUCUUUUAGAGAGGUCUCCUCCUUUGAAUGUGGAGUGUGCUGGCUUGUUCAGCUCCUCUGAAAUGCAUUAGCGAUGUGGUGUUCCACCUGCUCGAGCUUCGUUGGCAUUGAUAGUCAUUCAUGUCAGAGUUGUUCAGCUGUGGCAAGGUUCACUUGCUCCUAAUUGUCGAUGGACUCCUCCAUCCUUUGACUCC
rnacentral:misc_RNA from 1 species